GGAGCAACGCCGCGUGAGUGAUGAAGGUUUCCGGAUCGUAAAACUCUGUUGUUAGGGAAGAACAAGUACCGUUCGAAUAGGGCGGUACCUUGACGGUACCUAACCAGAAAGCCACGGCUAACUACGUGCCAGCAGCCGCGGUAAUACGUAGGUGGCAAGCGUUGUCCGGAAUUAUUGGGCGUAAAGCGCGCGCAGGCGGUUUCUUAAGUCUGAUGUGAAAGCCCCCGGCUCAACCGGGGAGGGUCAUUGGAAACUGGGGAACUUGAGUGCAGAAGAGGAGAGUGGAAUUCCACGUGUAGCGGUGAAAUGCGUAGAGAUGUGGAGGAACACCAGUGGCGAAGGCGACUCUCUGGUCUGUAACUGACGCUGAGGCGCGAAAGCGUGGGGAGCGAACAGGAUUAGAUACCCUGGUAGUCCACGCCGUAAACGAUGAGUGCUAAGUGUUAGAGG
rnacentral:rRNA from 1 species